GGCCCCGUCGUCCAGCGGUCAGGACAUAGCCCUCUCAAGGCUAAGACACGGGUUCGAGUCCCGUCGGGGUCACCA
rnacentral:tRNA from 1 species